GAGAAUUGCUUGAAUCCAGGAGGCAGAGGUUGCAGUGAGCCGAGAUUGCAGCACUGCACUCUAGCCUGGGUGACAGAGGGAGCCCCCGUCUCAAACAAACAAAAAGCAGGCAUGGUAGGCUGCUCAUGAGUGUGGGUGAGAUGGGGGCCCGUGGCACGUGGGGCCGUGAGGGUUGGUGUCCAGCUUUACCUCCCUCUCCAAGCUGGGAAUUCCUACAGGACAGGAGACAGCGAGCUCCUAUGCGUCCCUCAAAACCCAGCCUCAAAGCUCCCUCUUCCUUGGCUUCCUCCAGGAGCUUCCUGCUCUGUAAUGGGGGCCCUUGGAGCUGAGAAUCCGUCAGGUGAACCUGCCCAUCACCCUAGACUUCACAAUCUUCCUCUCCUUCACUCCAGACAGAGAGAAAUAAUUUUUUUUUUCCCCUGUGUCACAAAGUAAAAAACUCUAACUAAAUUUCUCAGAAUUCUCUGGGGGCUAGAAGUGAGGGAGGGGUCCUGACCACACCCUCUCCCCUCAGCAGCAGCAGCUGGACCACCUGACCUGCUGUUCCCUGACAACCUCCCCACCCUUCCUUAUCUGGGCCCCACGACGGGCCCUGGUG
rnacentral:lncRNA from 1 species